UAAAACUUUCGUUGGGUGUGUUUUAAAAUUUACUUGGGUUAUAAUAUUAUCUUUUUUGUUUUAAAUAUAAAGUUUG
rnacentral:tRNA from 1 species